GGAAUCAGCAGCUGGCUGUUGGUGUUCCUGUUUCAGCCUGGGAAAACCAUCUUCUGUGGCCAAACGCCAACUGCAGUGCAAUGCCAGGGAGCCUGCAGAAAUGCAAGUCGUAGUGCUGGCAGGUGAUUCGUGCUCUUGUCAACCGAGCAGAGCCAGAGCAUGUAGUGAUGCUGGGCUGUGUGCUUCCACCAAUGGAGAGCUGUUGGGAAGCACAAAUGGCUGCGGUUCAGCUGACAGCCUGCCGCAUAACAACAGUGAUGGAAAGAAGGAGCUGAUCCAAGUUGAAGCCCUCAUUUCUCCCGGCUGACACAAAACUGGGCAGAGUGGCUGACACAGCAAAAGGCUGUGCUGCCUUCCAGCGAGACCUGGAGAGUUGGGUGGGGAGAAACGGAAUGAGAAAGAACAAGGGCAGGUGAUCCUGCCCCAGCAGGGGGAUUGGACGAGGUGAUCUUUGGAGGUCCCUUCCAAUUCCUGACAUUCUGUGAUUCUGUGCAAAGUUGGUUCACGGUAGUACUUUUGCUGCUGGGAAAUAGGAGCGCUGAUCUUUGGGAAGUUCCGGAUGCUGUCAGGAGUUAUUCAAGCCCAUUGGUGUUAAUUUGACCCUGGACUGGCUGCUGCUUGACAUGCUGUCUGCACAGAGGUAACACAUGCAUUAAUUUGUUUCCUGUCCUCUGCUGUUUUGUCUCUUGUUUUUAGUUAAUGCUGAAAACCCACCUACGGCUGUGGUUGGGAAAUUGGUUCACUUGCUCGAUCGGACCCAGAUUUUCAGGAGGAGCUGGAGCUAAUGAAACUGUGUGAGGAAGCUGUGACCUUGAUCCGAUCUAAUCAACAGCUUGAAAAUGACCUCAAUCUCAUGGACCUCAAGAUUGGACUGCUAGUGAAGAACAGAAUGACACUGCAGAAAGAGAACUGCAGCAGAAACAUCAAGGCUUCAAGUGUUUUAAAAACAAAGCACCAGAAAAAAACCCACUGGGGACCAAGGGAAAGCAAUAGAUGGUAUGCUUGAAGGCUCUGAGAACUGUUUGUCUGUUCACUUGUGGUUACGUGAGUCAUGGACUUGCACACCUUAAUUUCUUCUCACGUUUUGUGUGCUGU